rnacentral:rRNA from 1 species
CGACGUAGUUGAUCGAGUGGCUCAGGACACGCUGGCGGCGUGCCUAACACAUGCAAGUCGAACGGGGUUAAGCCCUUCGGGACUUAACUUAGUGGCGAACGGGUGAGUAACGCGUGAGGAACCUGCCUUUCAGUGGGGGACAACAGUUGGAAACGACUGCUAAUACCGCAUGAUACUUUUUGGGGGCAUCCCUAAAAAGUCAAAGAUUUAUUGCUGAAAGAUGGCCUCGCGUCUGAUUAGCUAGUUGGUGGGGUAACGGCCCACCAAGGCGACGAUCAGUAGCCGAACUGAGAGGUUGAUCGGCCACAUUGGGACUGAGACACGGCCCAGACUCCUACGGGAGGCAGCAGUGGGGAAUAUUGCGCAAUGGGGGCAACCCUGACGCAGCAACGCCGCGUGAAGGAUGAAGGUCUUCGGAUUGUAAACUUCUGUCUUCAGGGACGAAAAAGGACGGUACCUGAGGAGGAAGCCACGGCUAACUACGUG